UCCAGACUCCUACGGGAGGCAGCAGUGGGGAAUAUUGCACAAUGGGGGAAACCCUGAUGCAGCGACGCCGCGUGAGUGAAGAGGUAUCUCGGUACGUAAAGCUCUAUCAGCAGGGAAGAAAAUGACGGUACCUGACUAAGAAGCCCCGGCUAACUACGUGCCAGCAGCCGCGGUAAUACGUAGGGGGCAAGCGUUAUCCGGAUUUACUGGGUGUAAAGGGAGCGUAGACGGCAGCACAAGUCUGGAGUGAAAUCCCGGGGCUUAACCCCGGAACUGCUUUGGAAACUGUGCGGCUGGAGUGCAGGAGGGGUAAGCGGAAUUCCUAGUGUAGCGGUGAAAUGCGUAGAUAUCAGGAGGAACACCGGUGGCGAAGGCGGCCUGCUGGACGGCGACUGACGUUGAGGCUCGAAAGCGUGGGGAGCGAACAGGAUUAGAUACCCGGGUAC
rnacentral:rRNA from 1 species